rnacentral:misc_RNA from 1 species
GGUGCAGGUUUAUACGACAGUGUGCCGAUGGAUGAGGAGGAGCACGUGGUGCCUGACUACUCGUCUGAUCCGCUGAUAAUCGAUCCCAAAGUACGCAAGUCAAUCCUGUCUAGCAUUGCCAAGGCCGGGAGUGCAAUCGAGACGCUAUAUGGCUCCGCACAAGACAUCGAAGGUGUGGUUAAGGAUGGAAAGAUAUUUGUUGUUCAAACGAGACCACAAAUGUGAUUUACGACAUAGGAUUAAAAAGGG